AUUGAACGCUGGCGGCAGGCCUAACACAUGCAAGUCGAGCGGAUGGAGGGAGCUUGCUCCUGGAUUCAGCGGCGGACGGGUGAGUAAUGCCUAGGAAUCUGCCUGGUAGUGGGGGAUAACGUCCGGAAACGGGCGCUAAUACCGCAUACGUCCUAAGGGAGAAAGUGGGGGAUCUUCGGACCUCACGCUAUCAGAUGAGCCUAGGUCGGAUUAGCUAGUUGGUGGGGUAAAGGCCUACCAAGGCGACGAUCCGUAACUGGUCUGAGAGGAUGAUCAGUCACACUGGAACUGAGACACGGUCCAGACUCCUACGGGAGGCAGCAGUGGGGAAUAUUGGACAAUGGGCGAAAGCCUGAUCCAGCCAUGCCGCGUGUGUGAAGAAGGUCUUCGGAUUGUAAAGCACUUUAAGUUGGGAGGAAGGGCAGUAAGUUAAUACCUUGCUGUUUUGACGUUACCAACAGAAUAAGCACCGGCUAACUUCGUG
rnacentral:rRNA from 1 species